CCGGGCCAAUAGGGAUUCAAUGUUGGGCCUGUAAACUUAUAUCUAAAGAAAUUAGUUUCAGCAUGGCACCACCAAUAAUUAGAAUCGUGUUGUUGGGGGGCCAUUAUCUGUUACCUAUUAUCUGACCUAGGCCACUAGGUCACAUGGCCAUAGCCAAAUAUUGGAUCUAGUAUCAUUUUGUAAAAGCUAAAAAGUAUACUAUUCAAAGAUAAAGAAAUAUUAUUUUUAGAUAUUUGAUAAGAAUAAAAUUUUACCCAAUCAAUGAUUUGCUAUUAUGUUUGAUUUGUUAUU
rnacentral:lncRNA from 1 species